rnacentral:rRNA from 1 species
UACGACUACAUAUCAGGCAUAUCAAUAAGCGGAGGAAAAGAAACUAACAAGGAUUCCCUUAGUAACGGCGAGUGAAGCGGGAAGAGCUCAAAUUUGAAAUCUUCAAGGUUCUACCUUGACGAAUUGUAGUUUAAAGAAGUGUUUUCUGUUAGAUGAGUAGCAAAAGUUCCUUGGAAUGGGACAUCAUAGAGGGUGAGAAUCCCGUAUUUGGUUAUUCAUUCUAGCUUUGUGAUACACUUUCAAAGAGUCGGAUUGUUUGGGAAUGCAGUCCAAAAUGGGUGGUAAAUUUCAUCUAAAGCUAAAUAUUGGCGAGAGACCGAUAGCGAACAAGUACCGUGAGGGAAAGAUGAAAAGAACUUUGAAAAGAGAGUUAAACAGUACGUGAAAUUGUCAAAAGGGAAGCGUUUGACACCAGUGUUGUUUUUCCGAAAAUCAAUUACGAAUGGCUUGAUUUUGUGUUGUAUUGACCUUAUCAGCUUUCUUCACUUUUUUCGAGUCUUUCUUAAUGCACUUUUGGUUAACAAGUCAACAUCAAUUUCUUUUGUUGUAAAAGAGUAUUCGGAAGGUGGCUUUCUUUUCGGAGAAAGUGUUUAUAGCCCUAUACUUCUACAAUCGGAGAGAUUGAGGUCUGCAGCGUAGAUCCUUCGGGGUUAGAUACAUUUGUGCUAAGUUGUAGCUUUUCAUAGACAACUUGUUGACUAUGUUUAGUCAUGCGGCUUACUCGCUUAUGCUAUUUUACCUACGCUUAGGAUGUUGAGUAGCGACAUACGCAC